rnacentral:rRNA from 1 species
UACAGAGGUGGCAAGCGUUGUUCGGAAUUACUGGGCGUAAAGGGCGCGUAGGUGGCCUUCUAAGUCAGACGUGAAAUCCCCAGGCUUAACCUGGGCACUGCAUCUGAUACUGGAAGGCUUGAGUGCGGGAGAGGGAUGUGGAAUUCCAGGUGUAGCGGUGAAAUGCGUAGAUAUCUGGAGGAACACCGGUGGCGAAGGCGGCAUCCUGGACCGACACUGACGCUGAGGCGCGAAAGCCAGGGGAGCAAACGGG